GGCCAUAGUUCAGUGGUGGAGCAUGUGCUUUGCAUGCAGAAGGUCCCAGGUUUAAUCCCUGACAUCUCCA